AAUCAACGCUGGCGGCGUGCCUCAGACAUGCAAGUCGAACGAUUAAAGCUCUCUUCGGAGAGUGCAUAAAGUGGCGCACGGGCGAGUAACACGUAAGUAAUCUACCUUCGAGUGGGGAAUAACGUCCGGAAACGGACGCUAAUACCGCAUAAUGCAGCGGCACCUAAUGGUGACAGUUGUUAAAGAAUUUAUUCGCUUGAAGAGGAGCUUGCGGCAGAUUAGCUAGUUGGUAAGGUAAUGGCUUACCAAGGCUUCGAUCUGUAACCGGUCCAAGAGGACGGUCGGUCACACUGACACUGAAUAACGGGUCAGACUCCUACGGGAGGCAGCAGUCGGGAAUUUUGGGCAAUGGGCGAAAGCCUGACCCAGCAACGCCGCGUGAAGGAUGAAGUAUUUCGGUAUGUAAACUUCGAAAGAAUGGGAAGAAUCAAUGACGGUACCAUUUAUAAGGUCCGGCUAACUACGUGCCAGCAGCCGCGGUAA
rnacentral:rRNA from 1 species